CCUACGGGUGGCAGCAGUGGGGAAUAUUGCACAAUGGGGGAAACCCUGAUGCAGCGACGCCGCGUGAGUGAAGAAGUAAUUCGUUACGUAAAGCUCUAUCAGCAGGGAAGAAACACUGACCUUACGGUCAGCAGACGGUACCUGAGUAAGAAGCCCCGGCUAACUACGUGCCAGCAGCCGCGGUAAUACGUAGGGGGCAAGCGUUUCCCGGGUUUACUGGGGGUAAAGGGAGCGUAGACGGUGCGCCAAGUCUGGAGGGAAAUGCCGCAGCUUAACUGUGGAACUGCUUUGGAAACUGGCGAACUAGAGUGCGGGAGGGGUAAGCGGAAUGCGUGGUGUAGCGGUGAAAUGCGUAGAUAUUAGGAGGAACACCGGUGGCGAAGGCGGCUUACUGGACCGUAACUGACGUUGAGGCUCGAAAGCGUGGGGAGCAAACAGGAUUAGAUACCCCUGUAGUC
rnacentral:rRNA from 1 species